GAUGAACGCUGGCGGCGUGCCUAAUACAUGCAAGUCGAGCGAACAGACGAGGAGCUUGCUCCUCUGACGUUAGCGGCGGACGGGUGAGUAACACGUGGAUAACCUACCUAUAAGACUGGGAUAACUUCGGGAAACCGGAGCUAAAACCGGAUAAUAUAUUGAACCGCAUGGUUCAAUAGUGAAAGACGGUUUUGCUGUCACUUAUAGAUGGAUCCGCGCCGCAUUAGCUAGUUGGUAAGGUAACGGCUUACCAAGGCAACGAUGCGUAGCCGACCUGAGAGGGUGAUCGGCCACACUGGAACUGAGACACGGUCCAGACUCCUACGGGAGGCAGCAGUAGGGAAGCUUCCGCAAUGGGCGAAAGCCUGACGGAGCAACGCCGCGUGAGUGAUGAAGGUCUUCGGAUCGUAAAACUCUGUUAUUAGGGAAGAACAAAUGUGUAAGUAACUAUGCACGUCUUGACGGUACCUAAUCAGAAAGCCACGGCUAACUACGUG
rnacentral:rRNA from 1 species